UACGGGGGGAGCAAGCGUUGUUCGGAUUUACUGGGCGUAAAGAGCUCGUAGGCGGUCUGUCGCGUCUGCUGUGAAAUCUCAGGGCUUAACCCUGAGCUUGCAGUGGGUACGGGCAGACUAGAGUGCGGUAGGGGAGACUGGAAUUCCUGGUGUAGCGGUGAAAUGCGCAGAUAUCAGGAGGAACACCGGUGGCGAAGGCGGGUCUCUGGGCCGUAACUGACGCUGGAGGAGCGAAAGCAUGGGGAGCGAACAGG
rnacentral:rRNA from 1 species